rnacentral:lncRNA from 1 species
GAAUGUAAUAAAGGAUUUAUGAUUCUUGCAAAAAUAAAAUAGUUUUCUACCCCUCGUGGUUGCGAGUUUUAAAAGGAAAAGGUUUUCGUGUGGUAAACGAUUUUUAAAAGAAUUUUCUGGUUUUUCCUGGAUGUUAGUAUUUCAAAACGAGUUUCCGGGCAGAAAAUAUUUUUAAACUGAUAGAUGUGGAGUUAUGAAAAUUUAUGAUGAAAUAACUAUUGAUGUGAAUGGUGUAUGAAUAUGUGGAUGUUCAUAUUUGGUGGUUGUAUCUUGUUUUGUGUAUCUUGUACAUGUGUGACGCCGUGCAAAUACAGAAAAGAUUCUGUCUGUGUGAACAGUGG